GACGAACGCUGGCGGCGUGCCUAACACAUGCAAGUCGAACGAAGUGGCGAACGGGUGAGUAACGCGUAAUCAACCUGCCCUUCAGAGGGGGACAACAGUUGGAAACGACUGCUACUACCGCAUACUGAUGGAGGGGUUGGCGUCUGAUUGGCUAGUUGGAGGGGUAACGGCCAACAAAGGCGAUGAUCAGUAGCCGGUCGGAGAGGAUGAACGGCCACAUUGGGACUGAGACACGGCCCAGACUCCUACGGGAGGCAGCAGUGGGGAAUAUUCCGCAAUGGACGAAAGUCUGACGGAGCAACGCCGCGUGAGUGAUGACGGCCUUCGGGUUGUAAAGCUCUGUUAGUCGGGACGCGGUACCGGAAUAGAAGGCCACGGCUAACUACGUGCAAGCGGCGGCGGAAAUA
rnacentral:rRNA from 1 species